GCGGGCAUUAUGGCUUGUAUCGUCAUUGGGAUAGGGAUAAACCUACCCUUCGUGAGGGUAGCUGAAGGUAAUAUACGAAUAAGCACCGGCUAACUCCGUGCCAGCAGCCGCGGUAAUACGGAGGGUGCAAGCGUUAUCUGGAUUUAUUGGGUCUAAAGGGUCGGUAGGCGGAUCUGUAAGUCAGUGGUGAAAUCUCACAGCUUAACUGUGAAACUGCCAUUGAUACUGCAGGUCUUGAGUGUUGUUGAAGUAGCUGGAAUAAGUAGUGUAGCGGUGAAAUGCAUAGAUAUUACUUAGAACACCAAUUGCGAAGGCAGGUUACUAAGCAACAACUGACGCUGAUGGACGAAAGCGUGGGGAGCGAACAGGAUUAGAUAGCCUGGUAGUCCACGCCGUAAACGAUGCUAACUCGUUUUUGGAAUGUAAGUUUCAGAGACUAAGCGAAAGUGAUAAGUUAGCCACCUGGGGAGUACGAACGCAAGUUUGAAACUCAAAGGAAUUGACGGGGGCCCGCACAAGCGGUGGAUUAUGUGGUUUAAUUCGAUGAUACGCGAGGAACCUUACCAAGGCUUAAAUGGGAAAUGACAGGUUUAGAAAUAGACUUUUCUUCGGACAUUUUUCAAGGUGCUGCAUGGUUGUCGUCAGCUCGUGCCGUGAGGUGUUAGGUUAAGUCCUGCAACGAGCGCAACCCCUGUCACUAGUUGCCAUCAUUAAGUUGGGGACUCUAGUGAGACUGCCUACGCAAGUAGAGAGGAAGGUGGGGAUGACGUCAAAUCAUCACGGCCCUUACGCCUUGGGCCACACACGUAAUACAAUGGCCGGUACAGAGGGCAGCUACACUGCGAAGUGAUGCAAAUCUCGAAAGCCGGUCUCAGUUCGGAUUGGAGUCUGCAACUCGACUCUAUGAAGCUGGAAUCGCUAGUAAUCGCGCAUCAGCCAUGGCGCGGUGAAUACGUUCCCGGGCCUUGUACACACCGCCCGUCAAGCCAUGGAAGUCUGGGGUACCUGAAGUCGGUGACCGUAACAGGAGCUGCCUAGGUAAAACCGGCCCC
rnacentral:rRNA from 1 species